GCUCACUGCAGGCUCCGCCUCCCGGGUUCACGCCAUUCUCCUGCCUCAGCCUCCCGAGUAGCUGGAACUACAGGCGCCCGCCAUGAUGCCCGGCUCAUUUUCUGUGUUUUCAGUAGAGACGGGGUUUCACUGUGUUAGCCAGGAAAGUCUUGAUCUCCUGACCUCGUGAUCCUGACCUCGGCCUCCCAAAGUGCUGGGAUUACAGGCGCGAGCCACCGCGCCCGACAGCAGUUAUGAAGUUCUAAAAGCAAGUCUUAAUCAGGAAGUGUCCUUGAUCACCAACGGCUCGCCCAGGCAUGCUGGCUCUCUUCCACUUCCACCUUCCACCAUGGGAUGACGCAGUAAGAAGGCCAUCAGUAGAUGCCAGUCCCUCAACCUUGAACUUUCCAGACGCAGAACUUUAUGCCUCCAUUUUCCUCUGCUGCAUGGCCCCAGGAGAGAUUUUAAUUAGCUUUCUAACCUUGGUCCAGAUUGCACAUGCAAAUGGUAGAGGAUGCAACACCCCCGCUUGUGGAGCUGCCGCUUGUGUCUGGCAUGAAAAUUCACAAGAAGAGAGGAAAUACUGAGGAGAAAAUGGCAGAUUGUGUUUGCUGAAUUUGAUUGACGAAGAAGUCACCAUGAAAAUCACAGUGAACCAUUUGGAAAGCAAACUGCCAAAAAAUAAUAGUUAGUCAUGCUCUCAGGCUGGUUGUUUUGGCUGUUGUGGGUUUCUUGCAUUUCCAGAUGAUUGCAAAGAGCUGUUUCUCAAUUUCUGCAACAAGUGCCAGCUGAAAUUUUG
rnacentral:lncRNA from 1 species